AAAUUUCUUGUACCAACUGGAUGAGCAGCGAACGGGGUGGAGGUAACGCGUGGGGAAUCUGCCUUUGAGCGGGGGACAACAUUUGGAAACGAAUGCUAAUACCGCAUAAAAACUUUAAACACAAGUUUUAAGUUUGAAAGAUGCAAUUGCAUCACUCAAAGAUGAUCCCGCGUUGUAUUAGCUAGUUGGUGAGGUAAAGGCUCACCAAGGCGAUGAUACAUAGCCGACCUGAGAGGGUGAUCGGCCACAUUGGGACUGAGACACGGCCCAAACUCCUACGGGAGGCAGCAGUAGGGAAUCUUCGGCAAUGGACGAAAGUCUGACCGAGCAACGCCGCGUGAGUGUAGAAGGUUUACGGAUCGUAUAACUCUGUUGGUAGAGAAGAACGUUGGUGAGAGUGGAAAGCUCAUCAAGUGACGGUAACUACCCAGAAAGGGACGGCUAACUACGUGCCAGCAGCCGCGGUAAUACGUAGGUCCCGAGCGUUGUCCGGAUUUAUUGGGCGUAAAGCGAGCGCAGGUGGUUUAUUAAGUCUGGUGUAAAAGGCAGUGGCUCAACCAUUGUAUGCAUUGGAAACUGGUAGACUUGAGUGCAGGAGAGGAGAGUGGAAUUCCAUGUGUAGCGGUGAAAUGCGUAGAUAUAUGGAGGAACACCGGUGGCGAAAGCGGCUCUCUGGCCUGUAACUGACACUGAGGCUCGAAAGCGUGGGGAGCAAACAGGAUUAGAUACCCUGGUAGUCCACGCCGUAAACGAUGAGUGCUAGAUGUAGGGAGCUAUAAGUUCUCUGUAUCGCAGCUAACGCAAUAAGCACUCCGCCUGGGGAGUACGACCGCAAGGUUGAAACUCAAAGGAAUUGACGGGGGCCCGGACAAGCGGUGGAGCAUGUGCUUUAAUUCGAAGCAACGCGAAGAACCUUACCAGGUCUUGACAUACUCGUGCUAUUCCUAGAGAUAGGAAGUUCCUUCGGGACACGGGAUACAGGUGGUGCAUGGUUGUCGUCAGCUCGUGUCGUGAGAUGUUGGGUUAAGUCCCGCAACGAGCGCAACCCCUAUUGUUAGUUGCCAUCAUUAAGUUGGGCACUCUAACGAGACUGCCGGUGAUAAACCGGAGGAAGGUGGGGAUGACGUCAAAUCAUCAUGCCCCUUAUGACCUGGGCUACACACGUGCUACAAUGGAUGGUACAACGAGUCGCGAGACAGUGAUGUUUAGCUAAUCUCUUAAAACCAUUCUCAGUUCGGAUUGUAGGCUGCAACUCGCCUACAUGAAGUCGGAAUCGCUAGUAAUCGCGGAUCAGCACGCCGCGGUGAAUACGUUCCCGGGCCUUGUACACACCGCCCGUCACACCACGGGAGUUGGGAGUACCCG
rnacentral:rRNA from 1 species